rnacentral:rRNA from 1 species
AGCGAACGCUGGCGGCAGGCUUAACACAUGCAAGUCGAGCGCCCCGCAAGGGGAGCGGCAGACGGGAGAGUAACACGUGGGAACAUACCUUUUGGUUCGGAACAACUGAGGGAAACUUCAGCUAAUACCGGAUAAGCCCUUACGGGGAAAGAUUUAUCGCCGAAAGAUUGGCCCGCGUCUGAUUAGCUAGUUGGUGAGGUAACGGCUCACCAAGGCGGCGAUCAGUAGCUGGUCUGAGAGGAUGAUCAGCCUCACUGGGACUGAGACACGGCCCAGACUCCUACGGGAGGCAGCAGUGGGGAAUAUUGGACAAUGGGGCAACCCUGAUCCAGCCAUGCCGCGUGAGUGAUGAAGGCCUUAGGGUUGUAAAGCUCUUUUGCCCGGGAAGAUAAUGACGGUACCGGGAGAAUAAGCCCCGGCUAACUUCGUG